CUGGAUCAUGGGACUGUUUCUCACAUACUGUUCUUGUGGUAGUGAAUAAGUCUCAUGAGGUCUGAAGGUUUUAUAAGGGGUUUCUCCUUUCACUUGGCUCUCAUUCUCUCUUGCCUGUUGCCAUGUAAGAUGUGCCUUUUGCCUUCGAUCAUGAUUGUGAGGCUUCCCCAGCCACAUGGAACUACUCCAGGUUCUUCAACUUCGUGACUCGGACUGGCUUCUUUGCUCUGAAGAUUGCAGACAGCCUAUUGUGGGAGCUCACCUUGUGAUUGUGUUAUGUUUAAUUUCUUCACACCACUCAAAACUCAGCUUCUGAUUUCAAGAGUUCAACAACAGCCCUGAAGGAUUCUGUCUGCUUUACAGCUAUGUAAAAUAUGUUUAAUCUUCAGAUUCCUACAAGUUCCAGAUGACAAUGGAAUAUAAAAGACACAAGGCAGCUUCUGAAAAGCCACUCUGCCCUAAGAAGUCAGCCUACAUAAUUGAAGACAAGUGAUGUAAAUAAUUUGCCCUGUAUGCUGGUCCCAUGUUCCUGGACUUCUCAGUCUCCCCCAGAACUGUAAAAAAUAAAUUUCCUUUCUUUAUAAAUUACCCAGUCUGUGGUAUUCUGUUAUAGUAAAGGAAAACAAGCUAAGGCAUUAUGUUAAAUCUUGUAAAAAGAACCUCUUUCCUAUGAUUAGAGCUCCUCUCAUAUGCAUAUAGAAAUCCAAUGUUGAAGCUAUCAUAAUUCUACUGAACCAUCAACUUCAACCCACCCAGGUAAGAUUAUGCCUUCUUGAAUAUAAGAGAAACUUCCCCAAUCCCUUACCCAACCAAAAGGAUGAAUCUUCGAGAAAAAUAUCAAAAAGCCCUGCUUCAAAUCAGUAAAUAUUUGGUGGUAGGUGAGUGGUGUUUUCAAAUAAUAAAUACAAUCAUUCACUCUCUGUUAUGACUUUUUGAAGAUAAUUCAUUUUUGUUUUUCUUCUCUUAAGGGCUGAUUUAAACUUUCACAAAUGUAACAUCAUAUUGAAUCACAUCACAUUGAAUUUGUAAUGAAAAAAUGUGUUCCCCAGACGUCUUAUGACCUCUGAAACUUGGAAACCAAGUUGGCAACUGAGGAAAAAACUAUUAUUUCCAUCAAAAACUAUGGCAACAAAAACAUGGUCAUGUUCAUUUUAAUUACUUCUGCCAUUUUACUUGUCCCUCUUUCUAGUUAUCUUUCUUAAGAAUAUUAAUCAGUCUAAAGAGAAUAAAUGAUUUAUUAUUUUCAGAGAGGUAGGUGUUUUGAACAGAUCUUAGAGCCAUGUGGGUCAGUGUUGUCAAUCCCAGAUUUAUCUGUUUAAAAUGCAUGCCUCAUGGACUUACACUUAUUAAUGUUAUAAUGUAGGUAAGAAUCUUACCCAGUGCUCAGUACAUACUAAGUUGUGGGUAAAACCUGCUUAUUACUAAUUAUUCAACAAUUCACAGAAAAAUGGAAAAUUCAGUUGUUCAAAUUAUCACCAAUAUGGGUGUUUUCUUUAUAAUGUGAUAAGAUUAUUUGAAUUUUAUGACACAUAUGCCAUGAAUUUAAGAUAAGUAUAAUAUGGUUGCUUUAAGUUUUUCUUUUUCAAUUACAAUAAUAAUAAUACAAACCUCCUUAGAUCUAUACACUUGAGAUAUUUAAAACACAAUGUGUAUGCAAAACAUCAUAACCUGGUUCCUCAAAUCAACAAGGGACUAUGAGUUUUAUUUGUAUGAGAGGUCUUGGACCUGUGGUAUUUUGUUUACUACUUAUCACUUUUGAUGGCCACCCAUUUGAAUAGAGAUCUAAUCUGGCUCUGGGGGCAGGGAAGAUCUUGGGACAGGAAAACUACCCCUUUCUUUAGGAGAUGGCCCAUUGAUCUUUGCUUUUAUCAGCUCCUGCAACUAUCAUUUGAAGGUAAAGAUCAAGUUAUUUACAAAUUGCUUUAGAUUGAAAGGCAUUAGACUAGGCAAGGUGAAAAUUAAGAGCUUGUGAAUACAUUGUAGGUGGAAAUAAUUUUUGGAAACGAUUUCCCAGUAUAUAUAAUACACAAUUUCUAAAAUGAACAAAAGUUUGAAAUAAGUUUUAAAUAAGAUGUUGAAAAGAUGUAAGCGUAGCUGCUUUAAUCUUAAUCAAUGCAACUUGUGAUGAGGUAAUGAAGAGCAGGCAAUCAGUCAGAACCCAAUCUACCCAAAUGAAAUCUCAAACAACAGAGGAUAUUUUUUACUUUAGUUUGUGUUAAGAGAGAUGGGCAAUGUAAGUGCUAUGCAGAUUUAAUGUGCUAAUGAAAUAAAUUCAUCAAGAUUUAAAUUAUGGAGGAAAUUAAAAUAAGAAACUGUUCUGUACACAAAAGAGACUAUGUCCCAAGAGAAUAUCCAGCCUUGGUAAAGAACAACCCUAAUGAAUUUUAGAAUAGAUUUACAAAAUAUUAUAUAUCACCUGUUUUUAAAGACUUUUUAUUCUUUAGUUUCCUUAGUCAGUCCCUAGAAUUUUUAUUUAGGAAAGACCCUAGAAAUAGAAAUCUGAAAUGCUCAGCCAACAAAAGCUUUGUGAAGUUGUUUGCCCAGCCAAUGUAUUGUUGGUGGUUAGAUCAUUAGUCUACUACUUCGAUUUUGGGUGCUCAGUGAAGUACCUGGAGGCAUUCAAGGGUGUGAGCACAGAUAAUUUAAGGGAAUUAAUUUCUAAUUUAAAUAAUUUCAUCUUUUAUGUUAAAUAUUUCCUAAGGCCAUUUGAUGGAGCUUCAAGUUCUAAUUUUCUUUUUUUUUUCUUUUGAGAUGGAGUGUUGCUCUGUCGCCCAGGCUGGAGUGCAGUGGCAUGAUCUCGGCUCACUGCAAGCUCCGCCUCCCAGGUUCAUGCCAUUCUCCUGCCUCAGCCUCUCAAGUAGCUGGGACUACAGGCACCCGCCACCACGCCUGGCUAAUUUUUUUUGUAUUUUUUAGUAAAGACGGGGUUUCACCAUGUUAGCCAGGAUGGUCUCGAUCUCCUGAUCUCGUGAUCUGCCCUUCCUCAGCCUCCCAAAGUGCUGGGAUCACAGGCGUGAGCCACCAUGCCCAGCCCAAGUUCUAAUUUUCUGCCAUGUUAUAAUAAACCUCUCCCAAUUUUUCAAAGUAAAAUAUCUGUUGCCCAGCACUAAACUAGCAGGGUGAUUGCCCCAGAAAAUUACAAAGAUCCUAGGCAUCACUACUGAGACCAAUCAAAAUGUUUUUAUAAUGAUUUUGAAAAAAUAAAGAAUUUUAAUGACAGGAUAAAAAAUAAAUACAUUUGAAAAUCAAAUGAUUCCAACUAUCAGUUUUCAACAAAACUAAAGAAUUUACCUACUUGGAUUGUUUGUUGAUAGGCCACUUAAAAAUAAUAUUUGCUGAAGAAUUAGAAUGAGACAUUUACAAACACCUGAAAAGAGUUGAAAGAAUUCAAUGUCAUUGCUAGAAUAGCACACUUAUCCUCAUCUAUUUGUUUAUGUGGACAAGUUAUUUCAAUACCUACAUCUAUAAAGAUGAGUGUAUUAGUUCAUUUUCAUAUUGCUGUUACAGACAUGCCCGAGACUGGACAAUUUACAAAAGAAAGAAGUUUAUCAGACUUACAGUUCUAUGUGGCUGAGGAAACCUCACAAACAUGGCGGAAGUUGAAAGGCACAUCUCACAUGGUGGUAGACAAGAGAAGAGAACUUGUGUAGGGAAACUCUGAUUUUUAAAACCAUCAGAUCUGGCGAGACUCAUUCACUAUCAAGAGAACAGUGCAGGAAAGACCCGCCCCCAUAAUUCAAUCACCUCUCACCAGGUUCCUCCCAUGACAUGUGGGAAGUACAAUUCAAGAUGAGAUUUGCUUGGGGGCACAGCCAAACCAUAUUAUUCCACCACUGGCCUCUUCUAAAUCUCAUGUCCUCAUAUUUCAAAAACCAAUCAUGCCUUCCCAAUAGUCCUCCAUAGUCUUAACUCAUUUCAGCAUUAACUCAAAAGUCUACAGUACAAGGUCUCUUCUGAGACAAGUCAAGUCCCUUCUGCCUAUAAGCAUGUAAAAUCAAAAGCAAGUUAGUUACAUCCUAGAUACAAUGUGGGUACAGGCACUGGGUAAAUACAGCCAUUCCAAAUGGGAGAAAUUGGCCAAAACAAAGGGGCUACAACCCCAUGUAAGUCUGAAAUCCAGCAGAGCAGUCAAAUCUUGAAGCUCCAAAAUGAUAUUUUGACUCAAUGUCUUACAUCUCAGUCAUGCUGAUGCAAAAGAUUGCUUCCUGUGGUCUUAGGCAGCCUCGCUCCUGGCUGUUUCCAUGGGCUUGUGUUGAGUGUCUGUGGCUUUUCCAGGCUCACAGUGCAAGCUGUCAGUGAAUCUACAAUUCUGGGUUCUGUAGAAUGAUGUCCCUCUUCUCACAGCUCCACUAGGUAGUGCCCCAGUAGGGACUCUCUGUGGGGACUCCAAACCCACAUUUCCCUUCCAUGCUGCCCUAGCAGAGGUUGUAUAUGAGAGCCCUGCCCCUGAAGCAAACUUCUGCCUGGGCAUCCACUCGUUUCCAUACAUCCUCUGAAAUGUAGGCGGAGGUUCCCAAACCCCAAUUCGUCACUUCUGUGUACCAGCAGGGUCAACACCAUAUAGAAGCUGCCAAGGCUUGGGGCUUGAAUCCUCUGAAACCAUAGCCCAAGCUCUAGGUGUACCCCUUUCAGCCAUGGCUGGAGUAGCUGGGAUGUAGGGCACCAAGUCCUGCGCAUAGCACUGGGACCCUGGGCCCGACCCACAUAACCACUUUUUCCUCCUAGACCUCCAGGCCUGUGAUGGGAGGGGCUUGUGAAGAGCUUUGAAAUGCUUUGGAGACAUUUUCCCUGUUGUCUUUGGGAUUAACAUUUGGCUCCUAGUUACUUAGGCAAAUUUCUGCAGCUGGCUUGAAUUUCUCCUUAGGAAAUGGGAUUUUCUUUUCUAACGCAUUGUCUGGCUGCAUAUUUUCUAAACUUUUAUGCUGUGCUUCCCUUUUAAAACUGAAUAGCUUCAACAGCACCCAAGUCACCUCUUGAGUGCUUUACUGCUUGGAAAUUUAUUCCACCAGAAACCCUAAAUCAUCUCUCUCAAGUUCAAAGUUCCACAAAUCUCUAGGGCAGAGGCAAAAUGCUGCCAGUCUAUUUGCUACAACAUAACAAGAGUCACCUUUGCUCCAGUUCCUAAAAAGUUCCUCAUUUUUAUCUGUGACCACCUCAGCCUAGACUUUAUUGCCCAUAUUUCUAUUAGCAUAUUGGUCAAAGGCAUUCAACCAGUCUCUAGGAGGUUCCAAACUUUCCAACAUUUUCCUGUCUUCUUCUGAGCCCUCCAAACUGUUCCAACCUCUGCUUGUUACCCAGUUCCAAAGUGGCUUCCACAAUUUCAGGUAUCGUUUCAUCAGUGCCCCACCCUACUGGUACCAAUUUACUGUAUUAGUCCAUUUUCAUGCCACUGAUAAAGACACACUUGAAACUGUGCAAUUUAAAAAUAAAGAGGUUUACUGGACUUACAGUUCCACAUGGCUAGGGAGACAUCACAAUUAUGACAGAAGGUAAAAGGUCCAUCUGACAUGGUGGCAGACAAGAGAAGAGAGCUUGUAUAGGGAAAUUCCCAUUUUUAAAACCAUCAGAUCUCGUGAGACUCAUUCAUUAUCAUGAGAACAGUGCAGGAAAGACCUGCCCCAUAAUUCAACCACCUCCUACUGGGUUCCUCCCAUGACACAUGAGAAUUGUGGGAGUUACAAUUCAAGAUUAGAUUUGAGUGAGCGCACAGCCAGACCAUGUCAAUGACCUAAAAAAUAGUAAGAAUAGAAUGUAUGGUAAACUCUGUCCCAUUGUAAUAAUAAAUUAAUCAUUAAUAUAAAUUACGUUCUCAUAGAGAGCUGUGUUUUCAAAAAUCACUUUAAUUUGUUAAAGUUGUUUAUGAAAACAUGAUAAGUUUACAUCAUUUAUAACAGGGACUAAUAAUUACUAGAAGAAUAACUUACUCUUGAUUUUUUUUAUUUACAGAU
rnacentral:lncRNA from 10 species